AUGCCUUAUCUGCCGCAUCCCUGCCGAAGUAACACGUCUCAUUUGGUGUUACCUGGAAAAAAGUUGUGAUAGCUGUUGUUUUAGCGUAGAUAAAGUGUACGGAUGAUUUUUUUUUUUUUUUGCUACAGAACCUGUCACCACAAAAGUGAAUUGACGUCAGUGCAAAGAUUUGAAGGAUACAACAUUUCCUGGGAGUGUUCUCAGCCUAGGUUGUGAAAGACUGCUUUAAACUCAUGGGGACAACUGAGAGUGACAAGAGGCAUUAUUUUGUUGAGACUUUUCAAUCAUCAUGAUGUCGAUGGCACUGUCUACAUAACUAUCACCACUGGAUUGCCCCUCUUCAGCGGGCAAGCCAGCAGCAGCACCAAUAGGUGGUGUCCCAAUCCUGUAGCCCUCUGGUGAGUGGGGAUAAUGAGAUGAACCAUCGCCCUAUUAGACCAACUAAAAGUCCACAGAAUAAAAAUUGUAAUCUUGGUCCCCCACUUGAUUAACGUCAUGACUAUUGUAGUGUUGAUAGCUCAGAUAUGUUGAAAUAAUUUUUGCUCUUCAAAAUAAGAAAACACAUGACAUUGCUGAACUGUGGCUGUUCGUCAACUCUUGAUAUUAAACAAUAAAAAAUCUUCUUACCACC
rnacentral:lncRNA from 1 species